UGGCUCAGUCAGUUGAGUGUCUGACUUCCACUCAGGUCAUGAUCUCAGGGUUCAUGGGUUCGAGCCCCAU
rnacentral:tRNA from 1 species